rnacentral:rRNA from 1 species
UGAGACACGGACCAGACUCCUACGGGAGGCAGCAGUGAGGAAUAUUGGGCAAUGGAGGAAACUCUGACCCAGCCACGCCGCGUGAAGGAAGACACCCCUAUGGGGCGUAAACUUCUUUUAUACGAGAAGAAUUCCCUGGUUUCCAGGGCGCGACGGUAUCGUAUGAAUAAGCACCGGCUAACUCCGUGCCAGCAGCCGCGGUAAUACGGAGGGUGCAAGCGUUAAUCGGAAU